rnacentral:rRNA from 1 species
AUGUGUGGACAGUUAGUGGAGUCCCCUGGCGGCGACACUUGCAUUCUGACUUACGGAUACCACGAAGAACUUGGCAAGAUGGGAUUUGAUGAGAGAAAUCACCGAGUGGUACCACACUUAUCUAGCUUCUAUAUGCUUCAAGAGUUUUCAUGUUGCUUCUGCUCUGAUGCUUGUCUCCAUAUCCAUCCUGCAUUAUUUGGACAUGUACUGCAGCUUCAUCCGGGACUGCUAGGGGUUCAAUGGAAACAACCUCGGGAAUCAUGGUUCGUUGCUGGGAUGCUAUUGCUGGCUUCUGUUGGAGGAAUCUUCUUCGCGCCCUUCUUGAGCAAUAUGAAAAGAGAUUGCUUCUCCACUUGA